rnacentral:lncRNA from 1 species
GACCAACUAGUUACCCGGAGGGGGCCGAUGCGGUUCAUCCGAAGGAGGUCUCGCGAAGGGCCGAGCUACCGUGUGGAGCUGCAUUCUAUCCGGAAGGCCAGCCCAGGGGGCAUGCUUUCGCGCAGCGAAGCGCCCAGGCUGAGGCGCCUUAGGACGUUAGGUUUAGUUGCAAGCAUCCGGAAGGCCAGCCCAGCGGGUAUGCUGUCGCGCAGCGAAGCACCCAGGCUGAUUUGCCUUGGGCCGGCAGGUUUUGGUCGCAUGCAUCCGGAAGGCCAGCCCCAGCGGGUAUGCUGUCGCGCGGCGAAGCACCCAGGCUGAGUUGCCUUGGGCCGGUAGGUUUGGUCGCAUGCAUCCGGAAGGCCAGCCCCAGCGGGUAUGCUCUCGCGCGGCGAAGCACCCAGGCUGAGUUGCCUUGGGCCGGCAGGUUUUGAUCGCAUGCAUCCGGAAGGCCAGCCCCAGCGGGUAUGCUCUCGCGCG